CAGCAGCCGCGGUAAUACGUAGGUGGCAAGCGUUGUCCGGAAUUAUUGGGCGUAAAGGGCUCGCAGGCGGUUUCUUAAGUCUGAUGUGAAAGCCCCCGGCUCAACCGGGGAGGGUCAUUGGAAACUGGGAAACUUGAGUGCAGAAGAGGAGAGUGGAAUUCCACGUGUAGCGGUGAAAUGCGUAGAGAUGUGGAGGAACACCAGUGGCGAAGGCGACUCUCAGGUCUGUAACUGACGCUGAGGAGCGAAAGCGUGGGGAGCGAACAGGAUUAGAUACCCGUGUAGUCCCUGUCUCUUAUAC
rnacentral:rRNA from 1 species